GAUCACCUCCAACAUCCCACAUAUGAUUAGGACCAUAAUUAAUAUUUAUAGAAAUUAUACAUCUUUUUUUAUGAGAGAUAGAUACAAUCUUUUUUUUUAAUCACAAUAUAUAUCUUAUAUUUUAUAAUCUUUUUAAUCUUAAAACAGAAACGAGAGUUUCCAAAACGGAAACGAAAGUUUCCAUCGAGUUUCCAAAUGGAAAAUUUAGGAAUCGUGUUUCCAUAGGUAGUUUCUGAGUUUCCGAGAGUUUCUGUUUCUGAAACGUUUCGGAAACGGGAAACGCACUUCGAAAAGAGUUUCCAUGCAACGUAGUCAAUAACACCUUUUUUUUUUUUUUUUUUUUUGUCAUCUAACAUCGUUUUGUUUAUACUUCAGUUAAGAGGGACAUAAUAAAAUUAAAUAUGUCAUUUAUAAAUUUUAAGAUUACAUUUUCCACCGGAAAAUAACCAUCCAAAAAUGUAAUUUCAUGCUUUUUCCAGAUUUUUGAUC
rnacentral:lncRNA from 1 species